GUCAUUUAUUCCCAGCAUAGUAAUAGAAACAACUCAAGCUGGGUACCUCCAAGGAGGACCCCUAAUAAAGGUACACCCUGGACUUUUAUACCCUCACAGUGUCCCUACAUGUGAGUCUUGCUCUUCUUCAUGUCCCUGUGUUCAUCCACCUUCCUGUGUCACCAGUCUUCAUGUCUUUUAUUAUCCAAAAGAUAAGAAGAGUUGAAUAAGAAGCUGGGCACAAAGGAACCGUCAUCAGGAUACAAUUUGUAAAGCAGAAGCAUAACUAUAGUAGCACAAUUAUGAUUCACUUGACCAAGUAUCCUCUCCAGUCAUUGCCUGGAUGGGGGAAGUUGCACUGCUUUCUUUUUUUGGAGACUGUAUUACAGCCUCCUUGUUUAAGAGUGUCAGUUGCCUGCUCUGGUUCUGCUAGUUUCAUGUCAUCCAUGGUGACAUUGUAUAUACCCACAUCUUUUUACAGAACUGUCUUUUCUUUUUUAAGCAUAUUAAAAAUAGCAAAUACUAAGUGGCAAAAUCCUAGAAAAUGGAAAAAUGAAAUCUCAGAUGAGAAACAGUGAAUUCUGCGGUGUUUCUAUUUUGCUCCUAAUGCACACCCCGUAGCCCCCCAGCCCUCAAAACCAACAACUUCAAAUUUAACUUGAUGCUCUACAUUCUAUUACAUUCAUCUCUCUUCCUGAGAGUUCUGGUCUAUAUUGCCACAAAUUCUGCCUGUUCUCUUCUUCUAAACUUCCACUGGAGUGUUUAUUUCUUAAAGUGUAUUACUGAAUAAAUGCUUUACACUAAUGUUACAAAAA